CUUAAAGGUGCACGCAGGUAUUCAGGGCUGACUUAUUGUGUUCAGAUUUGUUCCUCUGCUGUGGGGCAACACAAAGAGCUGUGAAACGGCCACCUGAGAGUAGCUGCAGUCAUGUCCAAGAUCAUAUGUGUGACUCUGGUCUUCCUCAUCCUGGCUCACAUCUGCUGCAGCAACCAAGUCUCAUCUACUGGAUUUCAUCUGGACAGAUCGCACCUUCGCACGUGUCAGCGCAAAGUUUUUCACAGUGGAAAAGUGAAGUGUUGCAACCCGCUGUUGCAAUACUUUAAAAAACCCUACAGAGCAACAGGAUCUCAUCAAAUACAUCUGCCGAAAACCAGAUGAACACAGAGCUUAAGGAGUCCCAGGAUGUUUGCAGACAGAAAGUCAGUGCAAGCGCGCCAAUCACGCAGACACGAACACUGUGACCUGUGCAAGAUGUGACGGGGCUCAAGAGUGAAGAAGACCUCUCUCCCCAACAUCCUCAUAUAAUUCACAUAACCUUACACUCUCUUCAUCACAACACAUUAACUUUAUAUGCAGAUCACUAAAACCUUCCACGUUUCGCUCGCUUAACCAUUUGUGCUCAGUUUGCCUCCAUUUUUCUGUUUUGGUGGACCGCCCAUGAGACACAAGUUGAGUCCAGUACUCCACACAGUACUCCACACAGUACUCCACACAUACGCGUCACAAAUUCUCACGUGUUUGAAAACAUGAAUAUCAUUUAUGCUUUUCAUUCAACUCUUUUUUAUGCAACGGCAAGAUAUGCCCCCCAUAUUACCAUCCAAAUGUAUUCAUAUUCACUCCGAUGGAAAUAAAUAAAGAUACUG